rnacentral:rRNA from 1 species
GCGCACCAGUCGCGAAACCUCCGCAAUACACGAAAGUGUGACGGGGCCAUCCCGAGUGCCGUCCGCUGAGGACGGCUUUUCCCCAGUGUACACAGCUGGGGGAAUAAGGAGAGGGCAAGCCUGGUGUCAGCCGCCGCGGUAAUACCAGCUCUCCGAGUGGUGGGGACGCUUAUUGGGCCUAAAGCAUCCGUAGCCGGCUGGGCAAGUCCUCCGUUAAAUCCAACGAUUCAAUCGUUGGGCUGCGGGGGAUACUGUCCAGCUUGGGGGCGGGAGAGGCCGACGGUAUUCCCGGGGUAGGGGUGAAAUCCUAUAAUCCCGGGAGGACCACCAGUGGCGAAGGCUGUCGGCUAGAACGCGCCCGACGGUGAGGGAUGAAAGCUGGGGGAGCGAACCGGAUUAGGAUACCCGGGUAGU